GACCAAAUAGCUCAGUGGUUAGAGCACCCAGUCAAAACCUGGGAGGUCCAGGGUUCAAUCCCCUGUCGGGUCA
rnacentral:tRNA from 1 species